rnacentral:lncRNA from 10 species
AGGAUGGUCUCGAUCUCCUGACCUUGUGAUCCGCCCACCUCGGCCUCCCAAAGUGCUGGGAUUACAGGCGUGAACCACUGCGCCCAGGCUCUUUUUUUUUUUUUUUUAAUUAAAGAGACAGGGUCUCACUCUGUUGCCCAGGCUGAAGUGCACUGAAGUGAUCACAGCUCACCGUAACCUCUAAGUCUUGGCCUCAAGAGGUCCUCCCACUUCAGCUUCCUGAGUAGGUGGGACUACAGGUGUGCACUGCCACACCCAGCUAAUGUUUAAAAUUUUUUUGUAGACAAGGAGUCUUGCUAUGUUGCCCAGGUUGGUCUUGAACUCCUGGCCUCAAGCAAUCCUCCCACCUCUGCCUCCCAAAGUGUUGGGAUUACAGGUGUGAGCCACUACAAGCAGGCUGCCUUGCUUCUCUUCGUAGUUUCACCACAUAGGAAUGUAUUCCCAAACAAUACGCUAUCAAGUUGAGGUUUUUUUGUUUUUGUUUUUUUUGAGACAGAGAUUUCACUCUGUUGACCAGGCUGGAGUGCAAUGGCAUGAUCUCGGCUCGCUGCAGCCUUGAUCUGCCAGGCUCGAGUCAUCCUCCUACCUCACUCAGCCUCCAAACAGCUGGGACUACAGGUGCACACCACCAUGCCCAGCUAAUUUUUAAAUUUUUUGUAGAGAUAGUAUUUCGCCUUGUUGGCCAGGCUGGUCUCAAACUCCUGGCCUCAAGCUGUCUGCCCGCCUCGGCCUCCCAAAGUGUUGGGAUUACAGGCAUGAGCUACUGCGCCUGACCUGCUAUCCAGUUUAGCUUCUUUUUGACCUUCUUGUAAGUGAAAUCACAGUGUAUGUAUUGGUCCUGAUUUGUGUUGUACUUUGUAUAUGUGACAUCACCAUGUUGAUACACAUAACUUCAUUAAUUUUCAUAGCUAUAUAGUAUUUUAUUAUGUGAAUAUAUCCAAUUUAUCCAUUCUUCUGUUAUGAACACUUGGGUUCGUAACAGACUUUUUCCUGUUACAAACAGUGCUCUCUAAGCAACCCGGGGAGUGUCGCCUCCAUCACAUGCAGUUUCUCUAGUGUGUACAUUCAGUGAAGGAUCUGCACCUUUGACUUCAUUUGAUAAUGUCCAGUUGUUUCCCAAAGUGGCUGAACUAAUUUACAGUCCAACUAGUUCUGGAUGAGGGUUCGUUUUAGUCUAUAUCCUUACAGGCUCUUGGGUGUUGUUGACAAAGACAAUAUUUUUUUUCUUUUACCAAAAAUUUGAUGAUUGUAAAAUAGUAUCAUUUUAUGGUUUGGUUUUGUUUUGGAGACGGAACCUCACUCUGUUGCCCACCUGGAGUGCAGUGGCGAGAUCUCGGCUCACUGCAACCCCUGCCUCCCUAGUUCAAGCAAUUCUCCUGCCUCAGCCUCCCCAGUAGCUGGGACUACAGACGCGUGCCACACCACCUGGCUAAUUUUUUAUAUUUUUAGUAGAGAUGGGGUUUCACUAUGGUGGCCAGGCUGGUCUCAAACUCCUGAGCUCAGGCAGUCUGCCUGCGUCAGCCUCCUAAAGUGCUGGGAUUACAGGUAUGAGCCACUGUGCCCGGCCUCUUAUUAUGGCUUUAAUCUGCAUUUCCUGAGGCUUACCAUACUGUACUAAAUUUGAAAAAUUAAAAACCUUAAAAAAUUCAGAAGUCCUCUUUGUCUUGCUCAAUCAGCUCUAUUAAAAACUUCCUGCAAGCAGCAGGAAUUCUACUGCAUGGAUGUUCACAGCACGAAUCCCCACAAACAGGGCAGAACUUCUCAGGGUUGUAAAAUGAAGCUGAAGCUGCUGCCAGCACUGCUCUUAUCACAAGUGGCAGGCCCUAUGCUGGACUGAGAAUGAAAGCGUUGCUGCUUCCAGAACAGAAGACGAGCACAACAUGGCUGUGCACGCUUCCAUCCCUGCUGGAAACUUACGGCCUAGAAGACAUAACCACUCACCCACAUGUUGAUGGUUAGUCUUAGGAGGGAUGGAGGGAUUCCCUGUG